GGUUCAAUGGUGUAAGGGUUAGCUCUCUGGACUCUGAAUCCAGUGAUCCGAGUUCAAUUUCGGUAGGUCCU
rnacentral:tRNA from 1 species